AGAGCUCCCUGAAAUUAUUCAAAGUAGCCAAUACCAUGCCUUGUUAUACUAUUUGCUUUGUUUUUCCCACAGAAACUACAGUAAAGACUCUUGCCCACAUUUUCCCUGCCUCCUGACCAACCACGGUGCUUCCCCAUGUGGCCCUGCAUGAUGUGCCAAGCACCCUGUUUCUAGGAGUCUAGAGCCAAUGUAUCAGCACACGACUGAGCACCAAUGUCAUGUACAACACAUGGAAGGAAAUGAGGAUGCUUCAAAGGUAG